CCCUUAGAUGUUCUGGGCCGCACGCGCGCUACACUGAUGCAUGCAACGAGUUCUAUCCUUGGCCGGAAGGCCUGGGUAAUCUGUGAACGUGCAUCGUGAUAGGGACAGAUUAUUGCAAUUAUUAAUCUUGAACGAGGAAUUCCUAGUAAACGCAAGUCAUCAGCUUGCAUUGAUUACGUCCCUGCCCUUUGUACACACCGCCCGUCGCACCUACCGAUCGAAGGUAAUGAUGAGCCCUCAGGAUUGUGGCCUCGUCGCGUCAGCGUCUUGGCUGCGAGAAUCUGUGCAAAUCCCUACCUUUAGAGGAAGGUGAAGUCGUAACA
rnacentral:rRNA from 1 species